rnacentral:rRNA from 3 species
AAAUUGAAGAGUUUGAUCAUGGCUCAGAUUGAACGCUGGCGGCAGGCCUAACACAUGCAAGUCGAACGGUAACAGGAAGCAGCUUGCUGCUUUGCUGACGAGUGGCGGACGGGUGAGUAAUGUCUGGGAAACUGCCUGAUGGAGGGGGAUAACUACUGGAAACGGUGGCUAAUACCGCAUAACGUCGCAAGACCAAAGAGGGGGACCUUCGGGCCUCUUGCCAUCAGAUGUGCCCAGAUGGGAUUAGCUUGUUGGUGAGGUAACGGCUCACCAAGGCGACGAUCCCUAGCUG